GCUUGUGGUCGGGGACAGAUUAACAGGAUUAGAUACCCUGGUAGUCCACGCCGUAAACGAUGGGCACUAGGUGCCGGGGGGAACGACCCCUUCGGUGCCGCAGCUAACGCGUUAAGUGCCCCGCCUGGGGAGUACGGCCGCAAGGCUGAAACUCAAAGGAAUUGACGGGGGCCCGCACAAGCGGUGGAGCACGUGGUUUAAUUCGAAGCAACGCGAAGAACCUUACCUGGGUUUGACAUGCUGGUGAAAGCCCGGUGAAAGCCGGGCCCUCCUUCGGGACACCAGCACAGGUGCUGCAUGGCUGUCGUCAGCUCGUGUCGUGAGAUGUUGGGUUAAGUCCCGCAACGAGCGCAACCCUUGCCCCGUGUUACUAACAGGUAAAGCUGAGGACUCUCGGGGGACUGCCGGCGUCAAGCCGGAGGAAGGUGGGGACGACGUCAAGUCAUCAUGGCCCUUACGCCCAGGGCUACACACGUGCUACAAUGGCCAGGACAGAGGGCUGCAAGACGGCAACGUGGAGCGAAUCCCAUAAACCUGGUCUAAGUUCGGAUUGCGGGCUGCAACUCGCCCGCAUGAAGCCGGAAUCGCUAGUAAUCGCGGAUCAGCUACGCCGCGGUGAAUACGUUCCCGGGCCUUGUACACACCGCCCGUCACGCCAUGGAAGCCGGGAGUGCCCGAAGUCCGUGUCCUAACCCGCAAGGGAGGGAGCGGCCGAAGGCAAGCUCGGUGACUGGGGCGAAGUCGUAACAAGGUAACCAAUCU
rnacentral:rRNA from 2 species